ensembl:lncRNA
AAUUUUUAAAAGAGGAAAAAAGUAUUGCUAGUGUAAAGAAUAUAAAAUACACAAAUUAAGGAUUAACACUUGAUAUUUUGUUUUGUAAAAACUUAAUUGAGUUCAAAAGAAAUUAUUGCAUGUCAUAGUUCUCCCAUUCAUCAGUACUAGCAGGCAAACACUGAAGCCAUUCUGUCUCCCUAGAGUUUCUGCACUGGUUGUCACAUCAGCAAAGUCAGCCCUGACUAAUGCUUUACCUCCCUGAGUCACGCAGUUUUAGUGCUCCAUUUCCUUUUGCAAAAGAGUUCAACCCACUUUCAAGACCAAGAACUGGAAGACCUAUUUCCCAAAUCGCGUAUAUAUGUGCUGCCUAAGCGAGCACAGGCGAAACACUUUUGAUGAGGACAUAUUUCAGAUGGUGAGGUCAAAAGUAAUUUGAGAUAUAUGUGUGGAAGAAUCUGCAUUAGAAAGUUGUGAGCAAGAUUAAAUUUAAGAGGCCAUUUAAAGAAGCACAGCAUUUGUCUACUGAACACUAAAGUAUCACUCAGGAAGAUAUUAAAAUUUUUCACUCUUGGAACAUUCCUUGGAUCUCUGCUGCUGUGCUGUGAGAAAAACAAGCUACAAGUAUAGGACACAUGUUGAAGCUCCAAUUGAUAGCUGCAAUUGAGCUCCUUGCCAAUGACCAACAUCCUACGUCAACCAUGUGAAGUGGUCCUCUUCACUGUCCCAGCAUAACUGAGCACACAGGUGAUCAAGGCAGAGCCAAUUCCACAGGAAGUAAGAGAGCAUUGGUGUUAGCCCAUUCAACACCAAGACUAGUGAGAAAUUGCUGUUGUUUUAAGCCACUAAAUCUUGGAGGGGUUUGUUAAGAAAGUAACUGAAAAAGUGUCUUCCGUGAAUAAGGGUCAAGGAACCAUAGGAAUAGAUGAGUGUAGGGGGCCCUGCCCCCCCGCUGGAACUCUUGAGUGCCUUCUACGGACAUGCCCGGGCUUGCUGCAAAUCUACCCGGCAACAAGGAAGUAGCCCCAGUACACUCCUCUUGCUCCUCCCCUCUCGCCCUACGGUAUAUAUGUUGUAACAGCUUCCGCAAUAAACGAGACUUGAUCAGAAA